CCUACGGGUGGCAGCAGUCGAGAAUCAUUCACAAUGGGGGAAACCCUGAUGGUGCGACGCCGCGUGGGGGAAUGAAGGGCUUCGGAUUGUAAACCCCUGUCAUGUGGGAGCAAAUUAAAAAGAUAGUACCACAAGAGGAAGAGACGGCUAACUCUGUCCCAGCAGCCGCGGUAAUACAGAGGUCUCAAGCGUUGUUCGGAAUCACUGGGCGUAAAGCGUGCGUAGGCUGUUUCGUAAGGCGUGUGUGAAAGGUGCGGGCUCAACCCGCGGACUGCACAUGAUACUGCGAGACUAGAGUAAUGGAGGGGGAAGCGGAAUGCGCGGUGUAGCAGUGAAAUGCGUAGAUAUCGAGAGGAACACUCGUGGCGAAGGCGGGUUCCUGGACAUUAACUGACGCUGAGGCACGAAGGCCAGGGGAGCGAAAGGGAUUAGAUACCCGAGUAGUC
rnacentral:rRNA from 1 species